rnacentral:lncRNA from 1 species
GGAGAGGAGAGGAGAGGAGAGGAGAGGAGAGGAGAGGAGAGGAGGCAAUUACAGGGUAUUUAAGUCCUUCCUCUGGGGGGAAUUCAGAGCUCUCCAAGUCUUUUCCAUUCAAGAAAAAAAGCCGUGACAACAAUCAAAAUGUGGAAGCAGAAUCAUGUAAACUUCUGGCUGAGAAACAAAUCUUUUCUAUAGAAUGUCUUGUGUCUCUCUCUAAGAAUAAACAAAUACAUUUUUAGCAGCGAGAAGGUUUGUUCACCAACUCAAGUAACAAAUUCUUCUUCCUUGACACCUACAAGUGAGGUCUGGCUGCUUUCAGGAUUAUGCCUUUCGGUCAAACUCAAGUUAUUCGGAUCCCUAUAUACGUAUCAGGGAACGAGACUCUAUGGGCUACAUCAUGCAGGCAGUGAGAGCAGAUGAUGCAAUUGUCCGUUCUGUCCCACUGCAAUCAUUUUAAAAGGCCCG